rnacentral:rRNA from 1 species
UCGAACGAGAAAGCGGGGGCAACUCCGUGAGUAAAGUGGCGUACGGGUGAGUAACACGUAGCUAACCUACCCUCGAGUGAGGAAUAACCUGGGGAAACUCGGGCUAAUACCCCAUAACAUCCCGAGCAAUCGGGAGCAAAGGUCCGCAAGGGCCGCUUGAGGAGGGGGCUGCGGCCGAUUAGCUAGUUGGUGAGGUAACGGCCCACCAAGGCGAUGAUCGGUAGCCGGCCUGAGAGGGCGCACGGCCACACUGGCACUGAAACACGGGCCAGACUCCUACGGGAGGCAGCAGUGGGGAAUUUUGCACAAUGCCCGAAAGGGUGAUGCAGCAACGCCGCGUGAGGGAUGAAGGUCUUCGGAUCGUAAACCUCUUUCGACCGGGAAAAAUGGGCGGGUGUAGAGCCCGUCCUGAUGGUACCGGUGGAAGAAGCCCCGGCUAACUACGUG